rnacentral:rRNA from 1 species
GACGAACGCUGGCGGCGUGCUUAACACAUGCAAGUCGAACGAUGAAGCCCAGCUUGCUGGGUGGAUUAGUGGCGAACGGGUGAGUAACACGUGAGUAACCUGCCCUUAACUCUGGGAUAAGCCUGGGAAACUGGGUCUAAUACCGGAUAGGAGCGUCCACCGCAUGGUGGGGGUUGGAAAGAUUUAUCGGUUUUGGAUGGACUCGCGGCCUAUCAGCUUGUUGGUGAGGUAAUGGCUCACCAAGGCGACGACGGGUAGCCGGCCUGAGAGGGUGACCGGCCACACUGGGACUGAGACACGGCCCAGACUCCUACGGGAAGCAGCAGUGGGGAAUAUUGCACAAUGGGCGCAAGCCUGAUGCAGCGACGCCGCGUGAGGGAUGACGGCCUUCGGGUUGUAAACCUCUUUCAGUAGGGAAGAAGCGAAAGUGACGGUACCUGCAGAAGAAGCACCGGCUAACUACGUG